UUAGAGUUUAACAUUGCAUGGGGUGAGUUUGGGGCUUGGACAUAGAUUAGUAUUUAAUGUUAAGUUAGUAUUUUUUAUGAAGGCUUUAGAUUAUAGACAGAGACAUGGACUGGUAACAUUAUCGUCUUGCAUGUUUUGUUUACAUUAAUAAAUUGUAGCGAUUUUACAGAAAACAUAGAAAUUUAGGACUAACAUUGUGUAAUUUAUUUCUUUUCAGGUACCCCCGCCAGAAGGACGGAAGCAUAGAGUCGCUGAGGAGCCUAAAUAGCCAUUACAGGUGAGUUUUUGUUGUGUGUUGGCUGUGGACUGUUGUGGCCGCAGGGAGUGGGCCACUUGCAACAAGUAUGUCCGGCUGGAGUUGCAGGUGAGUUAUUCUUGGUGGCAGCAUCCAGCGCCGCCGUCAUUUGGUGAAGAUCCGUUAUGUCGUCAGUGGCAGAUUUAUGCAAUUGUUUAAUGAGAUUGUUUGUGUUGCAGAUGCAAGUUGCCGAUCGUCAGGAAGAGGAGUUGCGCAGACAAAUCCCACGCAGCUGUCGUUGCAUUUUUAUUGAGCUGCUGGCGUUAUGGUGGUGGAGUGCUCUCUAGUGAGAAGUCGUCAGUGCGGAUUGAAGCUCGAUCUAUCACCGAGGAGAGCCAGGUGCGCCGCGUCUUGUGGCCGUAGCAUCAGGAUUGGCAGCUAGUGGCCGCCGGUUCGAGAUUUGUUGCAGAGGGCGGCCGCAACAAGAAUGGCAUGGAAAUGGAUGUAAAAAUAGAAUUUGGUACAUUGAGUGGAAUUUAAUUUAAGGUACCCCCGCCAGAAGGACGGAAGCACCGAGUCGCUGGGAAGUCUCAAGAGUCAUCACAGAUGCAUAUUGCCGGUCGUCAGGAAGAGGAGUUGCGAAGAGUUGUCCAACGCAGCCGUCAAUGCGUUUUAAUUGAGCUGCUGGCAUUAUGGUCGUGGAGUUCGUCUCGUGGCAGAGAAGUCGUCUGUGGGGAUUGUAGUUCGGACAAUCACCGAAGGAAGCCAGGUGCGUCGCGUCUUGUGGCCAUAGCUUCAGGAUUGGUUGCUUGGGGCCGCCGGUUCGAGAUUUGUUGCAGAGAGCCGCCGCAACGAGAUUGCCAUGGAAAUGGAUGUAAAAAUAGAAUUUGGUACAUUGAGUGGAAUUUAAUUUAAGGUACUUAAGGAGGAAGCUAGUCUGGGGUACAUUUUGUAAGAGCUAGUUUGGAGGACCUUUGUUAUUGUGCUAUUGCAGCUGGAAUGCCGCGGUUUUGGAGUCAUCAAGUUGCAAUUAGAUAAGUAUUAUAUUUUAAAUAUAUAUUUCCCAGUAAUAGCUUGUGUUCCCUUGUUUCAAUAGUUGGAGUUUUUGAAGCUGGAGCUGCGUGCUUGUGGUCAGCAGGAUGGAGCCGUCUAUUAGCACCUGCUACUUGUCUGGCCGGUUUGUUAUUAUUUAUGUGUCCUUGAGUAAUUUUUGUAUCGCAUUCUCAUUUAUUUUCCUUUCAUUACAGGUCAGCGGAGAAAUCGUUGGAGAUACAAAACUGAGGAAAAAUAUACAAUUUAAGGACAAGUUUAGCAGUGAAUUGGUGUGGCAUCAGCGCCACGCACAUGAUCCUUAUUUGUUCUAUGGCAUCAGGAGGUAGAGACGGCAUCGUAGUGUUGUCAAUUUUUUUGUGUUAAGAGGCAAAAAGUUGGCUUUUUUGUUUUACGUUUGGUGGAGCCGUCUCCUCUUGUCUAAUGCAUAGGAUGUGGGUAAGCUAUGUCUGCCGUGGGUGAGGUAUUUGCUUUAUUUGAUUUUAUUUUGUUUAUUUAAUUUGUUGUUGAUUGUUUGCUUUUAGGUUUUAGCGUCAACUCGCUGUUGGCGCUCUUCAAGCUGGAAAUUUAUGGGAGCAGCAGAGUGUCCUGAUCGACGAGGUGGAAGCGUUGUUGGCCCGUCUUUUGCAGAGCAUCAAUUUGAGUAGAUUUCAGCGGUGAUAAUAGAUACUUCAAAGGACCGUGCGGCAAGAAAAUUUCAGGCUCUGGUUGGUUUUUUUCCGUAUCGUUUCGUCAGGAUCAGCUGGAGUGCGUUGUCGUAAGCUUGUUUAUUCGGGUGCGUUGAGGAAAAUUGGGCUGCGUCGAGGAAGUUGAUGACCGUGAAGGAGUUUGGAGCAGACUGACGUGCACUUUACCGUCGGAUAUAGAUAUCGUUAGAAUAGAUAUAAGUAAGAGUAACUUUAAUUGGAUGUAUCCAUGUCAAGAUUGUUAUCUGUUCCUUGAAUAAUUAAGGCCAAUAAACUGUCAAUUUUCUUUUCUAAA